CCAGCCCAGACUAUCCCCACCGCCGGGCCGCCAGCCUGGCUGCUGUCUCUCCGGGAGCCGCUGCCAAGCCGUCAGCUCCUUUCAUCGCCCCAAGGCAGCCAGAGGGAGCGCCAGCAGCAGCCUUGGCACACGCCCGCUCCGGCCACUCCCGGCGUGUUCUCAGACACAGACGCCAGCCCAGCGGGGCGGGCACCCAGCUCCGAGCCCACGGCUGCAACAAGGAAGGGUCACUGGGGGACCCAGCCCCCUCAUUACACGUCAGGAAACCUGGGCUGGGGAUCAGCCAGGCCUCCUUUGAAACUGUCUAGCCAAAUCAGCCCGUCAGAGUGGCGAUCAGAUGUCCAUGGGAGGCGGUUCCCUCUGCUGGAAUGUUCUCCAUCCCUCCCCCACCGGCCAGCCCCUCAGGGCUCAGCGAGGGCAGGCCCUUCCUCAGAGGCCCUGACCUUCACCCAGGGCCAAGCUCCCUCUUAGCACUCAUAGCACCCAGCCCAGGCGCCUGGCUGUCAGCCCAGAUGGGCACCUAAGCUAAGGAAGCUUGGGGGAGGGACGGGGGACCUCGCAGGGCUCCCCGUGGGUCCACUUGGUGGUCCUGCUCCUCCCGACAUGUGGGCACAGGCUGGCCUUCCAGGACUUCCGUGUUUGGCUCCUGGAGGCAGGACCCCUGUCCCCAUCCUGACUCCGGGCACCCAGAGGCAGCCGAGAGCUGGGCAGGGGGAUACCCAACUCCACGGAGAUGCCCAUGGCCUCAGGAAACUCUGUCCCACGCCCUUGGCUUUGAGGUGAGGAUAAGAGAGCCCAGCCCUGGCUCCAGGAUCACCUCCAUAGAGUCCGUCCUGGGUCUCUGAGCCUUCACUUCCUCCUCUGCCAAACGGAUUCUGAUUCUUCCUGGUCAGGCUGCUGACAGGUGAGCCAAGGUGAUAGACACAGGCCCUGCCCUUCCGCGCCCUCCUGCUGCCCUCCUUUCAGAGUGAGAAAGCUGUGAGCUGGGUGAGAGCCCCUGGAGAGAGGCAAAGGUGGCCAGCCUGUCCUCUCUGGGGCCUCCCUCUGCCCCUUCCGGGCGUCAUGGAGAAAAGCAGGCAGUCCAAGACUGGCAGGAGGCAGGGUACCUCCUGGCGGCAGGGGUCUUUGGCUGGCCGCACUGGCCAGGCAGCGAGGGAGGGAGUGUCUGCAACAGGAACCACAUCUGAGGAGCUAAGGAAAAGGGCUGUGAUGUGUGAGGACAGUAAGUUGAAGGAAGAGUGAGAAAGAAGCAUGUGGAAGGGAGAGACCCUAGUGGCUCCGAGGCCCUGGCCCCUGCAGCCAUCAGUGCCCACCAGGCCGGCCCACUCCAGACUCCGGGUCUCCCAGUUCCGGCUUCAGCUUCAGGGAGAGAAUCCCACUGGGCUGCGCUUGGGUCAUGUGUCCAGCCUGCACCAAUCAACCAAGGUGGAGUUGGGGUCACACAGCAGAGAGUGAGCCUGGCCAAUCCCAGAGAGGGGAGAAACUGUGGGCGGGGCAGCCACUGACAGGUGGCUCCUCAUUUUACAGGUGGGAGGUAGACAGGCCCCCAGGGCAACUGUCCCUCGGUAAUGUGUCCCGGAAUCCUUGGACCAACCCAAAGGCCCAGGGUGGGAGGGAGCCAGUGUGCUCCUGAAGGGAGGAGAGGUGGGGCAAGGCUCCCAGGUGGGCCCCAGCGCAGGGAGCAGGCAGGUAAGAUGAGGUCCCUGUUUUGAGCAAUGACGCUGGUGAUGAGGCCAGGAGUUGAUCCAGGAGGACGGAGGGAGUGGAUGCAGGACAGGGUGAGGAGGGUUAAGAGCAUGACCUGGGCCAUCCGGGUCAGGUGGAGGGAGAGGAGCCACCGGCCAGGGCUCCAGGACACACGAUGGUGCUUGCUGGGUGACACAGAGGAUCGAGUGGGAAGCCAGCCAGCAGCAGGACCAACAGUUCAGUCUGAAACAUCUUGAGCCCGAGGUUCUGUGGUCCACUUGGGAGAGAAGGUGAUGCUGGGAGUGAAGGUCACCGCCACAAGGGAGUAAGAGCAUCUCUGGUUAGACUUCCUCUCCCCAGGCCUCAGCCCCUCCAUCCAGGAGCCUGAGCUGGGCCUCUGCUUGGCCGUGAUGCCCUCUCUCUGGAUCCACCCAAUGAGGUCAAGAAGGUGCCCCAGCUCUCCCGGCGAGGGCUGGGAUGUCCUGGGUGGAUGCCCACUCUGGUCAGUUGCCAGCAUCUAGACUCCCCACACACCAGCAACUUCAGGAAGGAGGCACAAGGGCAGACAGGCUCUCAGAUGGGCACAAUUCCAGGGCCGUCAUGGCUUCCGGGAGCUUGAUGGGGCCAGAGGAUCGAUGUGCCUAUCUCCCAGGGCUGCUGGCAGGAUUAGAUAGGUUGCCCUUCGAACAGUCACCUGGAAGCAGGGGGAGGAGCCUGUUCAUGUUGGGCGUUGACCAACAAGAACCAGCAAGAGAGAUGAAGAUGGAUCUGCCCUCGCACAGCUGCAGCAGACUCGCACACUUGGAGGCAACAUGUGACGUGGAGAGACACACUUUAUGUCCAUGUUGUUGGGGGAGCAGCCUGUGCCGUCCCUCGGUGAGCUGGCAUCCUCCUGGCCCUGCUGAGCAAGUGAGCAGAGAUGCGGGGCCAGCCCGGCUCCCAGCCCUGCUACUCCAGCCUCAUCAGCCCCACUCCCUCUCUGGCCUUGCCUCCCUCCUUCAGCACCACCCCGGACUGCGCCAGCAAACCCCGCUCCAUCCCUCAUCCCUUUAACAUCCCUUGGCCCUUGCGCCAAGCCCUGUGCUCAAGCCAGUGGGUGCAGGUGAAGGAGCUGGGUCCCUGUGCAGGGAGAGACAGAAGCUGUAAGAAGAGGCCAGCAGCCAGACACCCAGCCCCGCCGCUCCCCUGCUGGGUGACCUCGGGCAAGUCACUGCAUUGCUCUGGGCCUGUUUCUUCAUCUGUAAAACGGGAUGAUGCCAACCCUAACCUCCCCCUCGUGGGACCAGUCGAGAGCCACAGCACCUACAGGAGCCCCAGGGUCCUGAGGGAACCACCUUGAGCCUCAGUCUCCUCAUCUGUAAACCGAGGCUGAUGACUCCAGGCCCAUGUCACAGGACCGCAGAGAGAAAUGCCCGACAUUGGGACUGUGGGGUCACAGGAACGUGAUUCCUGACAGCGGGAGCGGGGAGGACGAGGAGGAGGCAGAACAGGAAAAUAUUUUGAAGGCUGGUCUCUAAGUGGCUUUAGGAACCACUAAGCCAGAAUGGCCUGGACAAGGUCAGCUGGUUUGGUGCCCACCUUCCCGCCCAUCGCUGGGCCACAGACUGUCACACAGGUCAGAGCCCCCCAGUCCUCUGCCCUUUCCUGAACCAUCUGGAAGCUGGAAAGUCACUGUCCUGACACAGGUAAUCGGAACACCCAGCCCUGCACUCCAGCCUCUCUGUCACCAGCUGUGUGGCAGGGGGCUGUCCCUUACCUGGUGGGCCCUGGUCCCCAUCUG
ensembl:lncRNA